rnacentral:rRNA from 1 species
CAGCAGCCGCGGUAAUACGGAGGAUCCAAGCGUUAUCCGGAAUCAUUGGGUUUAAAGGGUCCGUAGGUGGAUAAUUAAGUCAGAGGUGAAAGUUUGCAGCUCAACUGUAAAAUUGCCUUUGAUACUGGUUAUCUUGAAUUAUUGUGAAGUGGUUAGAAUAUGUAGUGUAGCGGUGAAAUGCAUAGAUAUUACAUAGAAUACCAAUUGCGAAGGCAGAUCACUAACAAUAUAUUGACACUGAUGGACGAAAGCGUGGGGAGCGAACAGGAUUAGAUACCCUGGUAGUCCACGCCGUAAACGAUGGUCACUAGCUGUUCGAACUUCGGUUUGAGUGGCUAAGAGAAAUUGAUAAGUGACCCACCUGGGGAGUACGUUCGCAAGAAUGAAACUCAAAGGAAUUGACGGGGGCCCGCACAAGCGGUGGAGCAUGUGGUUUAAUUCGAUGAUACGCGAGGAACCUUACCAGGGCUUAAAUGUAGUCUGCAUUAGUUAGAGAUAGUCUUUUCUUCGGACCACUUACAAGGUGCUGCAUGGUUGUCGUCAGCUCGUGCCGUGAGGUGUCAGGUUAAGUCCUAUAACGAGCGCAACCCCUGUUGUUAGUUGCCAGCGAGUCAUGUCGGAACUCUAACAAGACUGCCAGUGCAAACUGUGAGAAAGGUGGGGAUGACGUCAAAUCAUCACGGCCCUUACGUCCUGGGCCACACACGUGCUACAAUGGCCGGUACAGAGAGCAGCCAUCUGGCAACAGAGAGCGAAUCUACAAAACCGGUCACAGUUCGGAUCGGGGUCUGCAACUCGACCCCGUGAAGCUGGAAUCGCUAGUAAUCGGAUACCAGCCAUGAUCCGGUGAAUACGUUCCCGGGCCUUGUACACACCGCCCGUCAAGCCAUGGAAGCUGGGAGCACCUGAAGUCCGUCACCGUAAGGAGCGGCCUAGGGUGAAACUGGUAACCGGGGCUAAGUCGUAACAAGGUAGCCGUA